GGAUGUAGAAGUGAAGAACGCCACACAGUGGAAGGAUAAGAUAAAGAGUCAGCGAAUGAGAAUCAGCACGGAGUUUUCAAAGCUGCACAACUUCCUGGUUGAAGAAGAGGACCUGUUUCUUCAGAGAUUGAACAAAGAAGAAGAAGAGACAAAGAAGAAGCUGAAUGAGAACACGUUAAAACUCAAUCAAACGAUCGCUUCAUUGAAGAAGCUCAUCUUAGAGGUUGGGGAGAAGAGCCAGGCCUCCACCCUGGGGCUGCUUCAGGUGAGACACUUACGGGCAGGGAUGAUCUCGUCUUCACUAACUGAACUCUCUCUUGUCUUUAGAGCUGCAUGUCCUUCCUGGUGAGUGGGUUUCAUAGACAUGUCUUAUCUCUUGCUAGUUCUGUGCUGUCACAUAACUAAAAAGCCAAAGAUUCACCAUCCAAAGGAAAUUAAUGUGAAAUGUAGGUAUGCUGAGCUCAGGUCAUAGGAGAUAAAUUGGUUCACAUGGUCUCAUAGUUCAUCUAGGAUCUGAGACUUAGCACAUAUAAGAUUUUUUCAUUCAUCUUAUGUGUACAUUUAUAAUUAUUAAACAGUAAAACAAAGCAAGCAUAAAAC
rnacentral:sRNA from 1 species